GUUUUAAUAAUGUCAAGUCUUUCUAUCCACGAGCACAGCGUAUGCUUCCGUUUCUUUGUAUCUUCUUUAAUUUCUUUUUUCAAUGACAUCAUUUUCCAAGAACAGGUCUUUUACUUCCUCGAUGCAACUGUAAACACGAUUGGUUUCUUAACCUCUCUUUCUGAGAGUUCAUCAUUGGUGUACACAAUGCAACUGACUUCUGACUAUUAAUUUUGUAUCCUGCCACUUCCCCGAGUUUCUGUAACAGUUCUAACAGUUUUUUCCGUGGCAUCUUUAGGGUUCUCUGGCUCUAGGAUCAUGUCGUCGGCAAAUAACGACAGUUUUACUUCUUCCGUUGCAGUUUGGAUGCAUUUUGUGUCUCUUUCUUGCCCGAUGGCUGUGGCCGGACCUUCCGAUACUGCAUUGAAUGAAAACGGCGAAAGCGGACACCCUUGUCUCGUUCCUGAUCUUAAGGAAAACGCGUUUAGCUUCUCCCCAUUGGGUAUGAUGUUAGCCGUAGGUUGGUCACAUAUGACCUUUAUUACGUUGAGGUAUGUUCCCUCUAUUCCCACUUUGCUGAGAGAGUUUAUCAUGAAUGGAUGCUGGAUUUUGUCAAAAGCUGUUUCCACAUCUAUUGAUAAGAUCGUGUGAUUUUUAUCUUUCCGUUUGUUAACGUGGUGUAUCCUAGUAAUUGAUUUGCGAAUAUUGAACCAACCUUGAACCCCAGGGAUAAACCUA